GACGAACGCUGGCGGCGUGCCUAACACAUGCAAGUCGAACGAAGUGGCGAACGGGUGAGUAACGCGUAAUCAACCUGCCCCUCAGAGGGGGCCAACAGUUGGAAACGACUGUUAAUCCCGCUCACUCAAGGAGGGGAUUGCGUAUGAUGAGCUAGUGGGAGGGGUAACGGCCCACCCAGGCGAUGAUCAAUAGCCGGUCGGAGAGGAUGAACGGCCACAGUGGGACUGAGACACGGCCCAAACUCCUACGGGAGGCAGCAUUGGGGAAUAUUGGACAAGGGGCGAAAGCCUGAUCCAGCCAUGCCGCGUGUGUGAAGAAGGUCUUCGGAUUGUAAAGCACUUUAAGUUGGGAGGCGUUACCAACAGAAUAAGCACCGGCUAACUUCGUGCCAGCAGCCGCGGUAAUAC
rnacentral:rRNA from 1 species